rnacentral:lncRNA from 1 species
CAUGUGCAAUGCCGGACACUGCAGGACGCACAAACCCUGGUUUUAUAACUACCUACAACAUGCUCUCAAACGAGAAACCAUUUCAAACUCACAUUCCAAGAUCAAAGAGAGAAAUAACCCACUUUGUACUCAUAAGAAUAGGCGGAGCCAAGGAAAAGCGCAGGGCCCAUCGACCACUGAAGACAACGGGAGGGAGCUGGAAGACGGUGAUGGCCUGGAAAUCAGUGCUGCACUCUUCCUGGGAGACGACUGAGGCCUGGCACAGUGUCGUCUCUGGUGCACGGUAUAAGGCUGCUCUUUACAAGAGUAUCAAGGCUUGCUGAGGGCAUCAACCCUACAGGAGGCAAGAGUUAAUUUCUCUGUUUUAGAGAAACUUAAGUGUAAAUGGCUUUUCAAAGUAGCUUUGUGUAUGUUUGCUCUCUGAAGACUGCUUUUUAAGCACAUUAGGAGUCACUCUACAAAUAAACGUAAAGCUUCCUGUGUCUA